rnacentral:rRNA from 1 species
GCUGAACGCUGGCGGCGUGCCUAAUACAUGCAAGUCGAGCGAACAGACGAGGAGCUUGCUCCUCUGACGUUAGCGGCGGACGGGUGAGUAACACGUGGAUAACCUACCUAUAAGACUGGGAUAACUUCGGGAAACCGGAGCUAAUACCGGAUAAUAUAUUGAACCGCAUGGUUCAAUAGUGAAAGACGGUUUUGCUGUCACUUAUAGAUGGAUCCGCGCCGCAUUAGCUAGUUGGUAAGGUAACGGCUUACCAAGGCAACGAUGCGUAGCCGACCUGAGAGGGUGAUCGGCCACACUGGAACUGAGACACGGUCCAGACUCCUACGGGAGGCAGCAGUAGGGAAUCUUCCGCAAUGGGCGAAAGCCUGACGGAGCAACGCCGCGUGAGUGAUGAAGGUCUUCGGAUCGUAAAACUCUGUUAUUAGGGAAGAACAAAUGUGUAAGUAACUAUGCACGUCUUGACGGUACCUAAUCAGAAAGCCACGGCUAACUACGUG